UACGUAGGAUGCAAGCGUUGUCCGGAAUUAUUGGGCGUAAAGGGCUCGUAGGCGGUUCGUCACGUCGGGAGUGAAAACUCGGAGCUUAACCCCGAGCCUGCAGUGGAUACGGGUAGACUAGAGGUAGGUAGGGGAGAAUGGAAUUCCCGGUGUAGCGGUGAAAUGCGCAGAUAUCGGGAGGAACACCGGUGGCGAAGGCGGGUCUCUGGGCCGAAAUUGACGCUGAGGAGCGAAAGCGUGGGGAGCAAACAGG
rnacentral:rRNA from 1 species